rnacentral:rRNA from 1 species
GAUGAACGCUGGCGGCGUGCCUAAUACAUGCAAGUCGAGCGAACAGACGAGGAGCUUGCUCCUCUGACGUUAGCGGCGGACGGGCGAGUAACACGUGGAUAACCUACCUAUAAGACUGGGAUAACUUCGGGAAACCGGAGCUAAUACCGGAUAAUAUAUUGAACCGCAUGGUUCAAUAGUGAAAGACGGUUUUGCUGUCACUUAUAGAUGGAUCCGCGCCGCAUUAGCUAGUUGGUAAGGUAACGGCUUACCAAGGCAACGAUGCGUAGCCGACCUGAGAGGGUGAUCGGCCACACUGGAACUGAGACACGGUCCAGACUCCUACGGGAGGCAGCAGUAGGGAAUCUUCCGCAAUGGGCGAAAGCCUGACGGAGCAACGCCGCGUGAGUGAUGAAGGUCUUCGGAUCGUAAAACUCUGUUAUUAGGGAAGAACAUAUGUGUAAGUAACUGUGCACAUCUUGACGGUACCUAAUCAGAAAGCCACGGCUAACUACGUG